rnacentral:rRNA from 1 species
AUUGAACGCUGGCGGCAGGCCUAACACAUGCUAGUCGAGCGAGCGGAGGACGGGUGAGUAAUGUAUGGGGACUGCCCGAUAGAGUGGGGUAACUACUGGGAACGGUAGCUAAUACCGCAUACUAUAGGAUAACACAUAUGGGAUUGGCUAGUAGGUGAGGGAAUGGCUCACCUAGGCGCCGAUCCCUAGCUGGGCUUAGAGGAUGAUCAGCCAUACUGGGAGUGAGGCCCGGCCCCGAAUCUGACGGGGGCAUCAGUGGGGAAUAUUGUACAAUGGGCGCAAGCCUGAUGCAGCCCUGCCGCGUGUAUGAAGAAGUCCCUAGGGUUGUAAAGUACUUUCAGUCGGGAGGCGUUAACGACUGAAGAAGCACCGGCGAACUCCGUGCCAGCAGCAGCGGUAAUUC